rnacentral:lncRNA from 1 species
CUAUGACACUUAGAGAAGAUGUCUUUUGAUUUUUCCCAUCUAACUAGAAAUUUCUGGCCUUCUUCAACCUUCAUGUAAUAGUGAAUUUAUUGAUACUGCAUUUGCAAGGUUGACGUUUCAUUUCUAAGAAAAGAAUGUUUACUACAAUUAGAUGAGAAGAGUCUCUUCUGGUCAAAGAAGAUCUCUUAAGAGUAGUUCACAUGGGGAAAAGAAAAAUGGAUCUGAGAACGCUGUCUGGGCUUGGUACCAAGAGCUGGUAUUUCACAGCAGCGACCGCCUCACAGACGAGCUGUGGGAAGCAGGAGGGAGACUCUCUCUUAGGGUGCCACUACUAUGGAGACACAGCUGGGCUGAACAAGAUUUGCUUCAAACGACAACAAGAGAGACAGAAAGUAUCUGGUUCAACCGCUGCCCGAGCAGGCAGGCACCAGAAGAGCUAGCAGCCAAUCCGGCCAUGCUCGAAGCCAGCUCUGCAGCUCAGCCAAUCAGUGACAUCAUUGCUUUCUUUAGCUUGCCCAUGGUGAUGUGAAGAUGAGAAGAAAUAGCAAGGCCCAACCAGUUCUUCAUCUGGAGACAGUUCAACGUUCUGCAAACCAGAUCUUCAGGAAUUUUACUGGGAUAAUUAUCCAAAUAAAUUGCAAGCAUUCUAUCCAAAUGGAGCUCUUUCUGAGAUGAAGAGAAUUCUCAAUGUCAAGAUUUGAACAAGAAGAGAAUGGAAUACACAAUAUGGACAUCCAUAAAAAUUCAUCAGAGAGCAUUUUACUACUGAGCUGCAAAGGUUACUACCUUUCUGCUUGUAGAAGAAUCCAAGUAGUUGGGUCUUUUUUUUUUUGGUUUAUAAUGAACAGGCAUUUGAACUGGGCAAACAGGACGACAGCAGCAGUGAGCAUGAGAUCAUUGCAUUGCAGCACUGUAGCAAACUGGCACCCUGCCUUUGCACCCCUUUGGUUCAGGAGACAAACGUGUGUAAUCCUCAUUUCUAAAGUCAGCACAGCCUGGAAGGAUUCCUGGUCUCUCCCACCUUCUACCAUUCUGCUGCCAGUGACGGCAAGGAUUGGUGUAGCUUCUGCGCAGUGCUUUGUGCCUGGAAUACCGAGAAGGAAGAAAAAGAAGACAAGCACCCUGGUCCUUUUCUAAGAAAUUACAGGCGCCCUUGAAGAAAAAAUCUGAGUG